GGUAGAUAUGGUCAAUGCCUUUUGUUGGGAAAUUUUGUGGUCAUAAAUAGGAAUAUAAUUAAUUUAUUAGUUUUGGUAGUAUGAAACUUUAAUUGCAGGAUUUUAUGAGUUAUUGAGUUGCAUAGGUUAAGAGAAGAAAAAAUAUAUGAACUGAGAUAUGGUGAUUUGAGUGCUUAAGAAAAAUGUCAUUCUUGAAUUGCACAUAUAUUUAAAUAUAGUGUAAAAAACUUUUCACAUACCCAUGGUUGAUGGGCAUAGGAUUUCUUACUUUGGCCGAUGCUACAGGCCUAGUGACUCUAUGAGUAACACUAAGUUUUGCUAGCAAAGGACAUUUGCUUUUGAUUCUUGCAGAAAUUAAGUGGAGGAACUUCAGAAUUUUCUGAUAAUGUAUC
rnacentral:misc_RNA from 1 species